GUGCAGUGGAGCUGGGGAGACAUGCUCAGGUGGUCUCUGCAUGAGAACGUGCUGGUGUCAUAGAAAAAUGCAAGGCCUGUUUCCUGUCUUCUUUUCUGAGAGAAAGGAAGGAAACUUUCCCCCCUUACCUUUUCCCCUUUUAUGGAAUGAUUAUAUCCACAGAUAAUACAGAUUUCCUGAGGCAUGAAGAUGGACUUUAAAUAACAGCCAUGUGAUGGGCAAGAUCUUAUCUUGGGUUAGAGCUACCUGGCAACUGUGAAGUGGUGAUCUGCCCAGAAUCAGGAAUGCUUACCCACUGGAGGCAUUUCAGCCCUACAAAAAAAAAAAAAAAAAAAGAAAAUAAAAGAAAAGAGCAGAUCAGGAGUAUUCAUCAUCUUUUUGAAGCAGAAUCACUGCAUUUGUGUGCAUGGUAGAUUCUUUGUGUCUCUUGAUAUUUUUACUGACCCUUCUCAUCUUGAUUUCAUACUUUCUUUUUCUUUUUAAAAUGUAUCUAGGUUUUGUUUUCUUGUUUAUCUUUGUGUGUACAAGUUGGUGUAUUGUGCAUAUGAGGAGAUUUGAACACACAAGACAAUUUAAUCAUUUGGAUCAAAGUGACCACAUGCCAACUGGCCUUGUACACUGGCCAAUUGCAUUCACUAAGGUAGAUGUAAUCAACAAAAGUGUCGCAACCCUUAAUUAUAUGUGCUCUAUCACCAAGUGGAAAACAGCAAGGUCCUCUCUUCAAAGCAAAAGGAGUAUUAGUGAGCAAAAAUGAUCAAAGAACUCCUAGAGCUGUACAGCAGGACAUGCCAAGGAGAAGAGUAAGAGCUG
ensembl:lncRNA